rnacentral:rRNA from 1 species
AACGAACGCUGGCGGCAGGCCUAACACAUGCACGUCGAGCACUCACCUUCGGGUGGGAGCGGCGCGCGGGUGAUGAACACGUGGGAAUCUACCCUGAUGUGCGGAUGAACUGAGGGAAACUUUAGCGAACAACGUAUACGCCCUACGGCGGAAAGAUAUAUCGCUACAAAACGGGCCCGCGUUGGAUUAGCCGGUUGGUGAGGUAACGGCUCACAAAGGCAACGAUCCCUAGCUGAGUUGAGAGAAUGAUCAGCCACACUGGGAAUGAGACACGGCCCAGACUCCUACGGGAGGCAGCAGUGGGGAAUAUUGGACAAUGGGCGCAAGCCUGAUCCAGCCAUGCCGCGUGAGUGAUGAAGGCCUUCGGGUUGUAAAGCUCUUUCAGAUGGGACGAUGGUGACGGUACCAUCAGAAGAAGCCCCGGCUAACUUCGUGCCAGCCGCCGCGGUAACAC